rnacentral:lncRNA from 1 species
AUUCAAUGCUAUACAGCCAAAAACAAUGUUUAAACACAGCACAGGGAAUUCUCUAAUCAAUCAAAUCUCACACUACUCACCCUAACACUACAAAUUCACUCAACCAACAACAAGAACACUCACUACUGAAUAUACAAAGCCCUUCCAUUGCUGCCUAGAAAGUGCUAGGCAUAGUCCCUACUGUAUUAGCUAUUCAUUCAUUGCUAUAAAGAAAUACCUGAGACUGGAUAACUUAUAAAGAAAAGAGGUUUGACUGGCUCACAGUUCUGCAGGCUUUACAGGAAGUAUGGUGUUGGCAUCUGAUCAGCUUCUGGGGAGGCCUCAAGAAGCUUACAGUCAUGGUAGAAGGCAAAGAAGCAGCAUGCAUGUAACAUGGCGAAAGAAGGAGCAAAUUGGGGUUGGAAAGUGUCACACACUUUUAAAUAACCAGACCUCACAAGAGCUCAUUAUCACAAAGACAGCACUAAGCCAUGAGGGAUCUGCUGCCAUGAUCCAAACACAUCCCAUCAGGCCCCACCUCCAGCACUGGGGAUUAAAUUUCAACAUUUGAGUGGGGAGAAAUAUCCAAACGAUAUCAUCUGAUGUAUACACUAAAGAAUAUUUCUGCAAACAUACUACUGGAGGAAAAUAACAAAGAGUAGCACUGAUAGUGGUUAUCCCUGUCUUGCUUCUGACCAAAAAGAGAAUGCAGCUACAAUGUCUCCAUUAUUGAAGCUUCCUUUGUAGCCUAAUACAUGCCCAAUUUUUUAGAAUGUCCAUUAGUGCUGGAAAAGAGAGUGUAUUUUCUGUACAUCUCACAAAGCUCCUUUUGAACAUAUUUCAAUCCACUUCUAUCUCUAAAAUUCUGUCUCUACAGGGGGCUCAAAAUCAGUAUGAGGAGACAAGUGGAGAACAGAUGCUCUCCAAUAGCCUUGAAAACCAACAGCACUGCCAUAAUGGUGAGAAACAGCAGCCUUGAAGCUACUAGACAGGGCAAAGCUGGUUUGGAGCUCCCCAAAAACACUAUUCUCAGAGCACUGUCAUUAUUUGACCUGUCUGGCAUAUUCCUGCAACCUCCAUUGGCAAGACUUGCCUGUAUUUGAUCUUAUUCAGAACUUGCUCAUUGCAAACAACCUUUUUGGAGGGGAGGAGGUGGAAAACAAUAAGCACCAAUUAUUUAACAUUGCCACUGCCUGAGGAGAUGAUAAUGGUGGAACAAACAAGAAACUGACCAAUACACUUAAAGGAAAAGCUGAAUAACGAAAUGUCAAUAGGGGGCUCUGAAAAACUCCAACAUAUUCCUGAAACUCUAGAAAGCCAUGCAGAAGCACACAGAAGGCUGUAUACACGCCAAAGGCCACUUGAAGACCUAGGAAAGAUCUAAGAAGUACCUAAUAUCUCACCUAAGACUGACCUUGAAGCUCUGUGAGAGCAAGAAGUGAAGGCUAAGGCAGAGUUGCAAACUGCCAGGCUAAAUAUUGAAGGUCUGGUGAAACACAUGCACAAAGCCCAUCAGUGAAGGAUAAGAGACCUACUGAUUCCAGACAUUUAAGGAAAUCUCUAUCCAAUCAUUAGCUGACCAUUAAGCUAAACAAGCAGAGAUUUUAAUGGCCACACAUGACAAAGAAUACAGGUUUUACAAAUGCAUUCAGGAAAGUCAGUAAACAAACUGAUAGCAAACACAAUAACAAGCAGCAGCAACAAACCCCGAGGGGGUGAGUGACAUUUCCAGAGUUGCCAUAUUAUUUAAAAUGUUAAAUAUCUCCCAAAAAAUGAUAAAAUUUUAAAGAUAAAUAAAUAAAAUGUUUCAAGGCAAAAGUAAAAUAAAAUGUCCAUAACAAGUUUUCCAUGAAAAAAAAAGACAAAACAUGCAAAGAAACAAGAAGAUAUGGUCUACAGAAAAGUCAAACAAAGAAAAGGAAAGUUUGAGGAAGCUAGAUAUUGAAAUUAUGAGGCAAAGACUUUAAAUCAGCUAUUUCAAACAUGUUCAAAGAACUUUAAAAAAUCACAAAUAAGGAACUAAGAGACUAUAAGAAUUAUGGCUCACUAACUAUAGAAUAUCAAUGAAGAGAUAGAAAUUAGAACAAAAGAACCAAAAGGAAAAAAUAAUAAAUUUAAAAGGAUUAAAACUAUAUAAUUUUCUUCUACCAUAAUGAAAUUAAACUAAAAGUUAAAAAGGAAAUUUGGGAAAUUCACAAAUAUGUGAAAAUUAAACAACACACUCCUAAAUAAACAAUGAAUCAAAGAAGAAAUCAUAAGGGAAAUAUGAAAAUAAUUUGAGAUUAAAGGAAACAAAAACACACCCAAAAAAUCCAUAACAAAACUUAUGAUAUGCAGCUAAAGCAGUGCUUAAAGGGAAAUUUAUAAACACCAAAUUAUAAAAAGAAAAAAUAUUAAAUUAAUCAUCUGUUUACCUUAAACUAGAAAUAAAGGAACAAACUAAACCUAAAGCAAGAAGAAGGAAGGAAAUAAUAAAGACUAGAGUGGAAAUAAAUGAAAUAGAGAUUAUAAAAGCAAUAGAGAAAAACAAAUUAAACCAAAAAUGUCUUCUUUGAAAAGAUCAAGAAAAUUGACAAACUUUUUGUUAUGCUAAAUUGACCAAGAAAAAAAAAAAGAGAAAACACUGAAAUGACUAAAAUCAGGAAUAGAAACAUUACAAAUUUUACAGAAAUAAAAAUGAUUAUAAGGGAAUGCUAUGAACAACAAUGGCAUAUGCCAACAAAUUGGAUAACCUAGAUGAGAAAGACAAAUGCCUAGAAAGACGUAAACUACCAGAACUGACUCAAGAAGAAAUAGAAAAUCCGAACAGAUCUAUAACAAGAUCAAUUAAGUAAACAAAAAGUAUUCCACAAAGUUAAAUCCAGGCCCAGGAAGCUUCACUAGUGAAUUGCAUCAAAUGUUUAAAGAAUUAGCCCCAAUCCUUCACAAACUCUUCCAAAAAAUGAAAGAGGUGACAAUACUUCCCAUUUUGCAAUUAUAAGGGAACAAUGCUGAAAACUUUCAUAAUAUUGCUCAAGCCUAAUUUGCCUAAUACUUCCCAGACUACAUCUUUUUAUUCUUCUUUCUUGACUUUUCUCUCUUUUCAGACCUUCAAUUUCUGCCUUUUCUCAAUCAGUCCUACCUGUAUCUUUGGUAGUCAUUUCAAAGAAAAAUUUUAGGGAAGUAGGUGAGCCAUUUAUUUUUAAAUAAACAUCUCAUCUGACAUGGUUUUGCCUAUAGUCAUGCAGGUGUGCACUGUCCAACCCCAGGAGAACUAUUCACAUCACAGACCCAUAGAUUUUAAUUUCCAUUACAAUUUGUAGGCAAAUGGUAGUAAAGCAACUUUAUCUCAUAAAAAUCAGUAAAUGCAAACAGGCUACAACUAACUGUAACUCACAAAGAAUGCUAUAAUGACCCUAACUCUGACAUCCCUAGUGAGUUAGGACUGCAAAGGAAACUGAUGAACUCCUAAGAGAAAUUUUGUUUUAUUUACUCAAGAGAUCUUAUUAUUACACAAGUCAAAAUCUAACUGCUUUUCACACAAAACCUGCCUCUCUUUCUGACUUUCAAUUUCAGUAUUUGUUUCUAACAUUCACCUAGAGUUUAAAUCAGCUAGCUCUCUCCACCCUCUAAUCUAUUCUAUACAGUUGAGUAAGAUUAACUUGCCUCUGAGAUAUAACAAGUGUCACAUUUAAGGGAGGUGAUGAUGUUUGCAGACUGCAAAUAGGAUGUGGUGCCACCAGGUGUGCAAAAGUAGCUUAGUAUAGCCUCUUGAGCUAACCUGCUUGCUCUAAUGGUAAGCCAUUUCUACUUUUGCUCCAGGAAUCUAUUCUAAAGCAACAUGUACAAACUCUACAAAAAUCUUCUAAUCUUCUGUCAUUUCAUGUUUAGUGUUUCUGAAAUUAAAGCAGUAAUUCUGAGUUCCUUUUUCAUCUUUCUUCCAGAAUUCACCUCUGAAUGCUAAACAGUUUCCUCCUGAGUAUGACUAGACUGUAUGAUUCUCUGCCUCCUAGAUAUGCUCUGUGUGCAUAGCUUGGUUCAUUGACCACAUUAAUUCAUUUACAUGUUAAUCACUUCAAAACCACAACAGUUUUAAUAAGGUCCUCUGGGGAAACCCAGCUUCCUUUGUUAACUACUCUUCUUACCACAGAGAAGCAUUUAGAGACCAAAGAGUAAUCAGUGAGCCUAAGAGUUCUAAUGAAUCACCAGAGGCAUCCCUUGGUCUUAUCUAUGAUAAUGGCAUGAGCCAGAGAAACACAGGAGAUUAAUUAAAAAGUUGCAUUUUCCUCUAGGUCUUCUUAAGAGGCAGUCUCUAUUGACCUGUAACUUGUCAAAAGUAACAAAACUCUAGUCUUCUUGCCUCCAGAACUUGUGUGUGUUUCAUUACAAACACUCAACCUCUUGAGUGCCAUUCAACCCAGCAGAGCAGAAGCGAAUUAGUACCCUGUAACCCUAUUCCUGCCUGCACAGCUUCCUUCAUCAUUAAGAGAAAACACCGUGUGGAAAGACUUUUAAUCUAGAUUAUAGUCACCUUCUUCACUAAGGCCCUGUGAGUGGUAGUUAGCCCAUACAAUUCAUUUAUUAUUUUCAUUUCCCACUGAAUUGGUCUGUUGUCUUAGGCCCAAUUGGAGAUGCAGUUCAAGAUAAUAAAUUAUUAUCCAAGAAAUCUGAAGUUGUAAGAAGUCUUAGAGUUGACCUUUACAGGAGAGAAAGCAAACAGUCCAGAAGGUUACACAACUAAUCUAAACUCAUAAAGUUUGUGAUUAACCAAGAUUUACAGCUUGAAUCCUAGUCACCUAGUAAAAUGUUUUUCCAAGAGAAAUUACAAGUCUCUAUCACCUGAAGACAAGCCUGGAAAAAAGUUAAGGGAUUGCUUCUAUUAAAUUGCAGUUAGAAAAAUAUGAUUCCCCCUAUCAUUUCUUCCUCUGAAAUUUUGAAAUCUCUGAUAGUUUCCCUUUCCUCUCCAUUCUCAUUGCCUUGUUUUUAUUAACUCAUGAUCCUAAUGCUACCAUAACCUCCUUACUUUGGCAUCCAUAAUUCAGUGAUUACUAUUUCUAGUUUAUCCUUCGCACCACGACUAAAUAAUCUUUCUAAAAGGAGAUCAUGUCACAACUGAUUUAAUAAAUGUAAACUAUAUAAUCUUAAUAAUGUCAUUGUUCUUCUUAAUUACCCCUGCUAUAUUGAGUGAAGUGAGGGGCCUAUUUAGAUUUUUUGCCUCAUUUAUCCAUUUAAUAACUUCAAAAUACUUGGUUUAAAUUUGCCUACUUUAUUGAUUUAUACUCUCCUUUUUAUCACAUAUUAGAUUCUUAGGCAUAGCAGCAUUUAUUUCUGUGCUAUUGUUGUUGUUCCAUGCACCUUUAAGUUAGUUCCCUAUGCUUUACUUUGUUUUGACAACCAUGUGCUUAUACAUUGGAAAAACAAACUGUGAUAUAGCCAUGCAAUGGAAUGCUACUCAGGAAUAAAGGUGAGUGAACCAUUGGUAAAAGACAUGACAUAAAAGAAUCUCAAAAUGAUUAUGCUGAGUAAAAAAAAAUAAAAAAUAGACCAAAAGAAGUAUAUAUUGUUCAUUUACAUAAAAUUCUAGAAAUUCUGGAAAUUUUAAACUAAUCUACAGUGACAGAAAGUGCAUUCAUGUUUGCUUGGGAAAGGAAGACGGGGGCAAAAAGAGAAAAACAGGAUCAUGAGAGGGCACAAAAAAACUUUUGUGAUUGAUGGUUAUGUUAAUCAAUUUGAUUGUGGUGAUGGCGUCAUGGGUGUAUACAUAUGUCACAAUUUAUCAAACUGUGUACUUUAAAUAUAUUCAAUUUAUUGCAUGAUAGCUAUACCCUAAAAAGGCCAUUAUGGGGGGG